rnacentral:rRNA from 1 species
UAAAACUCAAAUGAAUUGACGGGGGCCCGCACAAGCGGUGGAGCAUGUGGUUUAAUUCGAUGCAACGCGAAGAACCUUACCUGGUCUUGACAUCCACGGAAGUUUUCAGAGAUGAGAAUGUGCCUUCGGGAACCGUGAGACAGGUGCUGCAUGGCUGUCGUCAGCUCGUGUUGUGAAAUGUUGGGUUAAGUCCCGCAACGAGCGCAACCCUUAUCCUUUGUUGCCAGCGGUCCGGCCGGGAACUCAAAGGAGACUGCCAGUGAUAAACUGGAGGAAGGUGGGGAUGACGUCAAGUCAUCAUGGCCCUUACGACCAGGGCUACACACGUGCUACAAUGGCGCAUACAAAGAGAAGCGACCUCGCGAGAGCAAGCGGACCUCAUAAAGUGCGUCGUAGUCCGGAUUGGAGUCUGCAACUCGACUCCAUGAAGUCGGAAUCGCUAGUAAUCGUGGAUCAGAAUGCCACGGUGAAUACGUUCCCGGGCCUUGUACACACCGCCCGUCACACCAUGGGAGUGGGUUGCAAAAGAAGUAGGUAGCUUAACCUUCGGGAGGGCGCUUACCACUUUGUGAUUCAUGACUGGGGUGAAGUCGUAACAAGGUAACCGUAGGGGAACC